GUACCUUUCUCGUCCUUUUUGCUAAGAUCAAGUGUAGUAUCUGUUCUUAUCAGUUUAAUAUCUGAUACAUGAGCCAAUGGCUCACACGAUAUUAACUCAAUUUUUUUAGGGGAAAGAUUCACUGAUGUAGCUUGUUGCUUGGGUCUUUGAGUGUCGCCUUGGCUUAGCAUUAUUGCCUGGCACACCCCACCAUAG
rfam:Ipomoea nil DNA, scaffold: scaffold1848, cultivar: Tokyo-kokei standard.